rnacentral:tRNA from 1 species
UAUUAAUAAAAAAUUAUUUUGACAGAUUAGUGUAAUGAAUUUAGAAUUCAUAUAAGUAAAUAUAUUUAAUUUACAAGUAAUAC